rnacentral:rRNA from 1 species
AUUGAACGCUGGCGGCAGGCUUAACACAUGCAAGUCGAGCGGGGUGAUGGUGCUUGCACUAUCACUUAGCGGCGGACGGGUGAGUAAUGCUUAGGAAUCUGCCUAUUAGUGGGGGACAACUUCUCGAAAGGUAUGCUAAUACCGCAUACGUCCUACGGGAGAAAGCAGGGGAUCACUUGUGACCUUGCGCUAACAGAUGAGCCUAAGUCGGAUUAGCUAGUUGGUGGGGCAAAGGCCUACCAAGGCGACGAUCUGUAGCGGGUCUGAGAGGAUGAUCCGCCACACUGGGACUGAGACACGGCCCAGACUCCUACGGGAGGCAGCAGUGGGGAAUAUUGGACAAUGGGGGGAACCCUGAUCCAGCCAUGCCGCGUGUGUGAAGAAGGCCUUAUGGUUGUAAAGCACUUUAAGCGAGGAGGAGGCUCUUUUGGUUAAUACCCAAGAUGAGUGGACGUUACUCGCAGAAUAAGCACCGGCUAACUCUGUGCCAGCAGCCGCCGUAA